ensembl:snoRNA
UGCCGCUUUGUCAAAUUCAGGGCCUACCUCCCUCGUGGCCGGCACUGGCCCCAAGCUGUCAGGGAAACACUGGAGCUCAUAAGCCCUGUUCUCUCUCCUGGCCUCAGGAAUGGAUUUUGUAACAGACACCA